rnacentral:rRNA from 1 species
AUGAACCGUUUGUGGUGCUCGCUCUCCCAGAUGCUCCGUCGCUCGGCCGCCCCGCAGCGCCUGCUUCACUGGUGUUCUUCUUCCGCCCCCCGCGUCACGCCGUCGACUGUGCUUCCUCGGCGGUUCCGUUGGUACCACGACCCUCGGAAGGCCACGGCGGCGACGGCCAUCGGCUUGGGCGCCGCGGCGCUGGCCGCCUGCGAGGUCGUGCCCUGCACCAACCGCUGCCACCUCGUCGUCUAUUCCCGCCAGGGGGAGCGGGACCUUGGCGAGUCCCUGUUCGCCGCCGAGUUGAAGUCCAUCCACAGGCAUAGGAUGGUCGACCCACACCAUCCGGAUAGCAUCCGCGUCCGCCUCAUCGCCGAGAGAAUCAUCCACGCCGCCAAACGCGGCCUCGGCAUCUACGACAGCCGUGACGCCCCCUUGCUCCGCGUCACCCGCAAAGGGAAGAAGCCGUGGGCGCCGCAGCCGCACACGAGGCACCUCCAUGGGCUCAACGGCAGCUGGGAGCUGGUCCUUGCCAGGCAUACUUCCGCCAAUGCCAUGUCCGCGCCCGGUGGCAAGCUUUUAGUGUUCACGGGACUGCUUGACUACUUUAAGACCGAUGGCGAGAUCGCCUUCGCUCUUGCGCAUGAGGUUGGGCACCUCAUUGCAAGGCACCAAGCAGAUAUUGGAGAUAGUGUGUGGUUACCAGAUUUCCUACGACGGAUCUUUUUACAAAGGAUGGAGAUAGAGGCUGAUCGCAUUGGAAUCUUGCUACUUGCGGCUGCUGGUUUCCAUCCAAACCAUGCCCUUGCGGUCGCCAAGAAGCAAGCUACAAUUGCCGGAGGUUAUUCUGUAUGGAAACAGAUCCUAGAUACCACUCAUCCCCACCCGAAGGACAGAUUGGCGCGUUUGUCAGAGGCCAAGACCAUGGAGGAAGCGCUGGAAUUGUACAAUGAAGCUAAUGCCAUGGAUAAAGUAACUGAAAAGUAUUUUUCCGGUAACCCUAGCAUGUCCAUCUCAGAUGAAAAUGGUAUUUCAAAAUCUGAAAAGUAG